rnacentral:rRNA from 1 species
GAGUUUGAUCCUGGCUCAGGAUGAACGCUGGCGGCGUGCCUAAUACAUGCAAGUCGAGCGAACAGAUAAGGAGCUUGCUCCUUUGACGUUAGCGGCGGACGGGUGAGUAACACGUGGGUAACCUACCUAUAAGACUGGAAUAACUCCGGGAAACCGGGGCUAAUGCCGGAUAAUAUUUAGAACCGCAUGGUUCUAAAGUGAAAGAUGGUUUUACUAUCACUUAUAGAUGGACCCGCGCCGUAUUAGCUAGUUGGUGGGGUAAUGGCUUACCAAGGCAACGAUACGUAGCCGACCUGAGAGGGUGAUCGGCCACACUGGAACUGAGACACGGUCCAGACUCCUACGGGAGGCAGCAGUAGGGAAUCUUCCGCAAUGGGCGAAAGCCUGACGGAGCAACGCCGCGUGAGUGAUGAAGGUCUUCGGAUCGUAAAACUCUGUUAUUAGGGAAGAACAAAUGUGUAAGUAACUGUGCACGUCUUGACGGUACCUAAUCAGAAAGCCACGGCUAACUACGUGCCAGCAGCCGCGGUAAUACGU